rnacentral:rRNA from 1 species
UUAACGACUCUCGGCAACGGAUAUCUCGGCUCUCGCAUCGAUGAAGAACGUAGUGAAAUGCGAUACUUGGUGUGAAUUGCAGAAUCCCGUGAACCAUCGAGUCUUUGAACGCAAGUUGCGCCCUAGGCCAUCGGGCUGAGGGCACGCCUGCCUGGGCGUCACGC